AUUGAUUAGGUCCACGUAUUUUGAACAAGAAGUAACUAUAACUAUCAAUUAGUCUAAAUGCGGGAGGAACAUGCCAAGGUUGCAUAUCACUACAAAACCUACGAAGUGCCUUAGCAUCGAUCUUUAAAAAUCUGCUUUGACAAUGGAACUAACAUACAUACAUAUGUACAUAUGUACGUACAUAACCACGUGCAACGGCAACAUUAAAAGAAUGAGUUUCUUUUUGGGAUUUAAUUUAUGCCGGUGAACAGACGGUUGUGGAUGGCGCCUGGAAAAUAUACUUUAUGAAAGGCAGGACACUUAUAUUCUGAAAAUCGGUUGAUUUAACAGGCGGGUCUUGAGCUGGAAGAGGAAUCAUUUGAGUGCACUACAAAAUAUAUUUAAUUUCCAUUUAUGAUUGUCAUGGAAAUCGUUCCUACCACGUGGAAAUUAAUUUGGACACCUGCAAUGCAACAUUUAAGUAAUAUGUACUCAUAUUUGUGUGUAUUUUGAUUAUUUUAUUAAACUCAAUAAUUAACUUAAAACAAA